rnacentral:rRNA from 1 species
CCUACGGGAGGCAGCAGUAAGGAAUAUUCCACAAUGGGCGCAAGCCUGAUGGAGCGACGCCGCGUGCGCGAAGAAGCCCUUCGGGGUGUAAAGCGCUUUUCCCAGGGAUGAUCCAAGACAGUACCUGGGGAAGAAGCCUCGGCUAACUACGUGCCAGCAGCCGCGGUAAU